rnacentral:rRNA from 1 species
CGUGAGAUGUUGGGUUAAGUCCCGCAACGAGCGCAACCCUUGAUCUUAGUUGCCAUCAUUUAGUUGGGCACUCUAAGGUGACUGCCGGUGACAAACCGGAGGAAGGUGGGGAUGACGUCAAAUCAUCAUGCCCCUUAUGACCUGGGCUACACACGUGCUACAAUGGACGGUACAAAGAGCUGCAAGACCGCGAGGUGGAGCUAAUCUCAUAAAACCGUUCUCAGUUCGGAUUGUAGGCUGCAACUCGCCUACAUGAAGCUGGAAUCGCUAGUAAUCGCGGAUCAGCAUGCCGCGGUGAAUACGUUCCCGGGCCUUGUACACACCGCCCGUCACACCACGAGAGUUUGUAACACCCGAAGUCGGUGGGGUAACCUUUU